GGGUUUCCAACAUUCAGCGUCUUCUCCAAGCUUCCUCUCUCAAUCUUCUCCAAGCUUCCUCUCUCAAUCUCAAACGUCUGAUAAGUUGUUCCAUAUUAUUACUCAAUCUAGAUCUUCCCAUGUUAUUCAUCUUCAUUUUAUAUCAAUCAGUUAUAGAUCCAAAUGAAUCAAGUUUUUGAUAUUAAAGGAAGAAAUUUUUAGGGUUUCACAUCUCAUUCUCAAUCGGCUGACAGCAAGGUAAUCUUAGGGUUUCACAUCUCAUUCUCAUCAGGGAAGCAGGUUAUGUGCUUGAAGAUAUGCCUCACUUAACUGAUCCACUCAGGCAAGCUUUUUAUGUAAUGAAUUUAAUUCAUAAGGAAUUGAAAUUUGUGCCAGAUUAUUAGUUCUUAGUAUGUAGCAGUUGAAUUCUUUUUUAAUUUGAUGGUUCAUGUUUUGUAAAUAUGGGUUCAAUUUGUUUUAUGUGAGCUGA
rnacentral:lncRNA from 1 species